ACGGAAUAGAUACCCAGGUAGUCCACGCCCUAAACGAUGCGAACUGGAUGUUGGGUGCAACUUGGCACCCAGUAUCGAAAGCUAACGCGUUAAGUUCGCCGCCUGGGGAGUACGGUCGCAAGACUGAAACUCAAAGGAAUUGACGGGGGCCCGCACAAGCGGUGGAGUAUGUGGUUUAAAUUCGAUGCAACGCGAAGAACCUUACCUGGUCUUGACAUCCACGGAACUUUCCAGAGAUGGAUUGGUGCCUUCGGGAACCGUGAGACAGGUGCUGCAUGGCUGUCGUCAGCUCGUGUCGUGAGAUGUUGGGUUAAGUCCCGCAACGAGCGCAACCCUUGUCCUUAGUUGCCAGCACGUAAUGGUGGGAACUCUAAGGAGACCGCCGGUGACAAACCGGAGGAAGGUGGGGAUGACGUCAAGUCAUCACUGGCCCUUACGACCAGGGCUACACACGUACUACAAUGGUGGGGACAGAGGGCUGCAAACCCGCGAGGGCGAGCCAAUCCCA
rnacentral:rRNA from 1 species